CGUGCACCAGUGGGGUCCCUCUGCCUGGCCUGCGCCUUCUUGUAAUUCGGGACCCCUCAGGAGAUGUCAGAGCUGGUUUUGGCCUGAUCCCCGCAGGCCAGGCUGAGGGACCCCACUGGUGCACG
rfam:Myotis lucifugus cont2.7607, whole genome shotgun sequence.